rnacentral:rRNA from 1 species
UCCUACGGGAGGCAGCAGUGGGGAAUCUUCCGCAAUGGGCGAAAGCCUGACGGAGCAAUGCCGCGUGAAUGAAGAAGGCCUUCGGGUUGUAAAGUUCUGUCCUUAAGGAAGAAUGUCAUGCGUGUGAAUAAUGCGUGUGAGUGACGGUACUUAUGGAGGAAGCCCCGGCUAACUACGUGCCAGCAGCCGCGGUAAUACGUAGGGGGCAAGCGUUGUCCGGAAUCACUGGGCGUAAAGCGCAUGUAGGCGGAUGUUUAAGUCAGAUGUGAAAACUAUGGGCUCAACCUGUAGAUUGCAUCUGAUACUGGAUAUCUUGAGUAUGAGAGAGGAAAGUGGAAUUCCUAGUGUAGCGGUGAAAUGCGUAGAUAUUAGGAGGAACACCAGUGGCGAAGGCGACUUUCUGGCUCAUAACUGACGCUGAGAUGCGAAAGCGUGGGGAGCAAACAGGAUUAGAUACCCUGGUAGUCCACGCCGUAAACGAUGGGUACUAGGUGUUGGGGCGUCAAAACCUCAGUGCCGCAGUUAACACAAUAAGUACCCCGCCUGGGGAGUACGGUCGCAAGACUGAAACUCAAAUGAAUUGACGG